rnacentral:rRNA from 1 species
UACAGAGGUGGCGAGCGUUGUUCGGAUUUAUUGGGCGUAAAGGGUCCGUAGGCGGCCCGGAAAGUCGGAUGUGAAAUCCCACAGCCUAACUGUGGAACUGCAUUCGAAACUUCCAGGCUCGAGCGCAGGAGGGGUGAAGGGAAUUCCCGGUGUAAGGGUGAAAUCUGCAGAGAUCGGGAGGAACACCAGUCGCGAAGGCGCUUCACUGGCCUGCUGCUGACGCUCAGGGACGAAAGCCAGGGUAGCAAACGGG